CGACAGGAUACGGCAAAAGUAUGUGCUACGUACUGCCUCCUCUUAUGAAAGAUAAAGCCACUGACCAGUUCUGGUGCAUUAGGUGGAACGACAAAGAAAUCAAUUGGUUGAAUGGAUCCAUCGAGGUUGUUCGAUCCUGCGACGCGAACACUCAAACGACUGAGCUGAAACCCACUCCCUAAGAAAUAUGCGGAAAUGACUCAAAUGUGAAACUGUGGUGUAAUAUCUCAUUAAAAAGCAAAAGAAAAAUAAAGAAGAAAAAGGCGGUAGGAUACUAGUAAAUUAAGUAAUAAAAAUAGUUCAAAUUUUGUUUUGGGUUGGUUGUAAGUAUUCUGUUUGCUUAAUAACUAAUUUCAUAUGAACGAUCGUUUUAUCCAAGCAAAUGUAAAUCACAUAUAUGUAUGGUAGUUAAUAAUUAUUGACAAUGAAUUAACCUACGUAGAACA